rnacentral:rRNA from 1 species
UACGUAGGGCGCAAGCGUUAUCCGGAAUUAUUGGGCGUAAAGAGCUCGUAGGCGGUUCGUCGCGUCGGCUGUGAAAUCCCGAGGCUCACCUCGGGUCUGCAGUCGAUACGGGCGGACUGGAGUUCGGUAGGGGAGACGUGGAAUUCCUGGUGUAGCGGUGAAAUGCGCAGAUAUCAGGAGGAACACCGGUGGCGAAGGCGGGUCUCUGGGCCGAUGACUGACGCUGAGGAGCGAAAGCGUGGGGAGCGAA